GCCGGGGUAGCCUAGCCUGGUUAGGGCGCCAGACUCAUACCCAGAAGUCGCGGGCUCAAAUCCCGCCCCCGGCACCA
rnacentral:tRNA from 1 species